rfam:Picoides pubescens contig97893, whole genome shotgun sequence.
GUGCUCGCUUCGGCAGCACAUAUACUAAAAUUGGAACUAUACAGAGAAGAUUAGCAUGGCCCCUUGAAUUUCAGGUUGGACUCGAUGAUCCUCGAGGUCUCUUCCAACCUU